GAAGAGUUUGAUCCUGGCUCAGGAUNAACGCUAGCUACAGGCUUAACACAUGCAAGUCGAGGGGCAGCAUUUCNNUUUGCUUGCAAACUNNAGAUGGCGACCGGCGCACGGGUGAGUAACACGUAUCCAACCUGCCGAUAACUCGGGGAUAGCCUUUCGAAAGAAAGAUUAAUACCCGAUGGCAUAAUCANACCGCAUGGUCUUAUUAUUAAAGAAUUUCGGUUAUCGAUGGGGAUGCGUUCCAUUAGGCAGUUGGUGAGGUAACGGCUCACNAAACCUUCGAUGGAUAGGGGUUCUGAGAGGAAGGUCCCCCACAUUGGAACUGAGACACGGUCCNAACUCCUACGGGAGGCAGCAGUGAGGAAUAUUGGUCAAUGGGCGCAGGCCUNAACCAGCCAAGUAGCGUGAAGGAUGACUGCCCUAUGGGUUGUAAACUNCUUUAUAUGGGAAUAAAGUNUUCCACGUGUGGAAUUUUGUAUGUACCAUAUGAAUAAGGAUCGGCUAACUCCGUGCCAGCAGCCGCGGUNAUACGGAGGAUCCGAGCGUUAUCCGGAUUUAUUGGGUUUAAAGGGAGCGUAGGUGGACAGUUAAGUCAGUUGUGAAAGUUUGCGGCUCAACCGUAAAAUUGCAGUUGAUACUGGCUGUCUUGAGUACAGUAGAGGUGGGCGGAAUUCGUGGUGUAGCGGUGAAAUGCUUAGAUAUCACGAAGAACUCCGAUUGCGAAGGCAGCUCACUGGACUGCAACUGACACUGAUGCUCGAAAGUGUGGGUAUCAAACAGGAUUAGAUACCCUGGUAGUCCACACAGUAAACGAUGAAUACUCGCUGUUUGCGAUAUACAGUAAGCGGCCAAGCGAAAGCAUUAAGUAUUCCACCUGGGGAGUACGCCGGCAACGGUGAAACUCAAAGGAAUUGACGGGGGCCCGCACAAGCGGAGGAACAUGUGGUUUAAUUCGAUGAUACGCGAGGAACCUUACCCGGGCUUAAAUUGCAUUUGAAUAAUCUGGAAACAGGUUAGCCGCAAGGCAAAUGUGAAGGUGCUGCAUGGUUGUCGUCAGCUCGUGCCGUGAGGUGUCGGCUUAAGUGCCAUAACGAGCGCAACCCUUAUCUUUAGUUACUAACAGGUCAUGCUGAGGACUCUAGAGAGACUGCCGUCGUAAGAUGUGAGGAAGGUGGGGAUGACGUCAAAUCAGCACGGCCCUUACGUCCGGGGCUACACACGUGUUACAAUGGGGGGUACAGAAGGCAGCUACCUGGUGACAGGAUGCUNAUCCCAAAAGCCUCUCUCAGUUCGGAUCGAAGUCUGCAACCCGACUUCGUGAAGCUGGAUUCGCUAGUAAUCGCGCAUCAGCCAUGGCGCGGUGAAUACGUUCCCGGGCCUUGUACACACCGCCCGUCAANCCAUGANAGCCGGGGGUACCUGAAGUACGUAACCGCAAGGAGCGUCCUAGGGUAA
rnacentral:rRNA from 1 species